rnacentral:rRNA from 1 species
UACGUAGGGUGCAAGCGUUAAUCGGAAUUACUGGGCGUAAAGCGUGCGCAGGCGGUUUUGUAAGUUUGUCGUGAAAGCCCCGGGCUCAACCUGGGAACUGCAUUUGUGACUGCAUCGCUGGAGUGCGGCAGAGGGGGAUGGAAUUCCGCGUGUAGCAGUGAAAUGCGUAGAUAUGCGGAGGAACACCGAUGGCGAAGGCAAUCCCCUGGGCCUGCACUGACGCUCAUGCACGAAAGCGUGGGGAGCAAACAGG